rnacentral:tRNA from 1 species
GCGGAUGUAGUUCAGUGGUAGAACUUCAGCCUUCCAAGCUGAUAGCGUGAGUUCGAUUCUCAUCAUCCGCUCCA